AAAUUUCUUGGAAUCUAUUUAUUGAUGUAUUAGUCCUUUAGAUUGAGCGAGGAUUUAACUCAAUCUAAUUUAGAAACGAUAAUGCUAACAUGUAAUCAUUUGCUUGACAAGUAUACUCAACUUACUUCAGAUAUUUCUAUCAGGUCCUAAAUGCUAAUUAGUUGAAUUUGGGUAAUUAUACUUUGUUGGGGGUGGUAACUACACACUAUGGGUAUAUUUAAUUGUUGAAGUAUAUUUGAUAGGUGGUUUUGUUUCUGGUAUAGGUUGAAGGAAAUGAUCUUUGAUCAUUAGCAAGAAUGAGCUUUCCAUUACACUCCUUUGGGGAGAGCCAUUCUUGGACCUGUUGAGAUUGUCAAGGCUAUCACUAAAACGCAUCUCCAUGACGAUCAUUGCCGCCUCUGGAGAUGUUAAACGCGAGGAUAUUGUAGCGCUUGUAGAAUUUGUUUUUACAAAGUUUCAACGGAUCCAACCACCGCUGCUCAAUUAGUUGUCCAGGAACCAACCUCAUUAACUGGUUCAGAGACAAUGUUGACCUCUUGGACCAAAAAUACUGGUGGCAUGAAGCAUAAUGGG